GUUUACUUCAGGGAGAUCAUGCCAAAUUAAUCUUAUUGAUUUUUUUUGAUUGGGUAACUAAAAUUAUAGAUCAGGAUGGUGCAGUAGACAUUGCUUACCUAGAUUUCAGUAAGGCUUUUGACACUGUUGCACAUAGAAGGCUUAUCAAUAAACUGCAAUCUUUACGUUUGGAUUCCAAUAUUGUUGAAUGAGUAAGGCAGUGGCUGAGUUACAGACAACAGAGGGUUGUAGUUAAUGGAGUAUAUUCGAAGCUUGGAUUUGUCACCAGUGGGGUACCUCAGGGAUCUGUACUUGGACCCAUUCUCUUUAAUAUUUUUAUUAGUGAUAUUGCAGAAGGUCUUGAU